AUUGAACGCUGGCGGCGUGCUUAACACAUGCAAGUCGAACGGAGUGGCGAACGGGUGAGUAACACGUGGGUGAUCUGCCUUGCACUUCGGGAUAAGCUUGGGAAACUGGGUCUAAUACCGGAUAGUGCAAGAUGAGCUCGCGGCCUAUCAGCUUGUUGGUGGGGUAAUGGCCUACCAAGGGGUCGACGGGUAGCCGGCCUGAGAGGGUGUACGGCCACAUGGGGACUGAGAUACGGACCAGACGCCUACGGGAGGCAGCAGGGGGGAAUAUUGCACAAUGGGCGGAAGCCUGAUGCAGCGACGCCGCGUGGGGGAUGAAGGCUUGCGUGUUGUAAACGCCUUUCGACAGGGACGCGGUACCUGUAUAAGAAGCACCGGCUAACUACGUGCCAGCCGCCGCGGUAAUAC
rnacentral:rRNA from 1 species